UACGAAGGGGGCUAGCGUUGCUCGGAAUCACUGGGCGUAAAGGGUGCGUAGGCGGGUCUUUUAAGUCAGGGGUGAAAUCCUGGAGCUCAACUCCAGAACUGCCUUUGAUACUGAAGAUCUUGAGUUCGGGAGAGGUGAGUGGAACUGCGAGUGUAGAGGUGAAAUUCGUAGAUAUUCGGAAGAACACCAGUGGCGAAGGCGACUUACUGGACACAUAUUGACGCUGAGGUGCGAAAGCGUGGGGAGCAAACGGG
rnacentral:rRNA from 1 species